rnacentral:rRNA from 1 species
AUAUUCUGUGAGCAGGAAANCAGGGGAUCGCAAGACCUUGCGCUGAUUGAGCGGCCGAUAUCAGAUUAGCUAGUUGGUGAGGUAAAGGCUCACCAAGGCGACGAUCUGUAGCGGGUCUGAGAGGAUGAUCCGCCACACUGGAACUGAGACACGGUCCAGACUCCUACGGGAGGCAGCAGUGGGGAAUUUUGGACAAUGGGCGCAAGCCUGAUCCAGCCAUGCCGCGUGAGUGAAGAAGGCCGUUCGGGUUGUAAAGCUCUUUCGGCCGGGAAGAAAUCGCACAGGUUAAUACCCUGUGUGGAUGACGGUACCGGAAUAAGAAGCACCGGCUAACUACGUG